GUUUUUCUGUUAACCAAGGCUAGCACUCUUUUUAAGUUCCCAAAAGCUGAGAUAGAGGAUUAACAAAGGAAAAGAAAAAGAAAAUGGCUGUAUCAGAAGAUAAUGCUGACUUGUCAAUUAGCCAAAUGGACUAGAGAAUUCAUAGCAUGUUUCUGAUUCCCAGUUCAGAAAUAUCAACCUAAAUUUGCCAGCAGCCUUGAGUCAUUGUGAAUCUACCACCAUGACACAUGAGCUUAAGUACACAGAAGCAUCUUUUUGAAGUCAAAUGAUUUAUUUAAGGUCAUGCCCCUGAAAUAAAUACUAAAUUUGUGAGUGACUGCA